rnacentral:rRNA from 1 species
AUUGAACGCUGGCGGCAGGCCUAACACAUGCAAGUCGGACGGUAGCACAGAGAGCUUGCUCUUGGGUGACGAGUGGCGGACGGGUGAGUAAUGUCUGGGGAUCUGCCCGAUAGAGGGGGAUAACCACUGGAAACGGUGGCUAAUACCGCAUAACGUCGCAAGACCAAAGAGGGGGACCUUCGGGCCUCUCACUAUCGGAUGAACCCAGAUGGGAUUAGCUAGUAGGCGGGGUAAUGGCCCACCUAGGCGACGAUCCCUAGCUGGUCUGAGAGGAUGACCAGCCACACUGGAACUGGGACACGGUCCAGACUCCUACGGGAGGCAGCAGUGGGGAAUAUUGCACAAUGGGCGCAAGCCUGAUGCAGCCAUGCCGCGUGUAGGAAGAAGGCCUUCGGGUUGUAAAGUACUUUCAGCGGGGAGGAAGGCGGUACGGUUAAUAACCGUACCGAUUGACGUUACCCGCAGAAGAAGCGCCGGCUAACUCCGUGCCAGCCGCCGCGGUAA